rnacentral:lncRNA from 1 species
AUGAAGAUCGCCAACAUUGCCAAUGUAAGCCUAUCGGGAGGCGUCAGUCAUCUGUACAACACUGAUUUCAUCUUUCCUCAUUCUGCUGACGAACCGGUUGGAACCGAGACCAGCAAAAGCAAGAAAUCAAAGAAUGCCGCUGUGGGACCUGGUAUUCCUCGGAGCAGCCAUGCGGAAGUGGCCACCAGACAAGCCAGAGGGACAUCAGCUCCAAGCCAUGCGUCGUCCCAGGCUGGUCCUUCCCGAACAACGUGAAGAAAGUCAGAAAGCAGUAGCUUCUGCUAAAAGAAUGAAGUAUAAAGAACUGGAAAGAGCAAACGGACACUAGUUUUAACACUGAGCUAAACAUUUGUGCAGGCUUUAACUCUGCCAGUGUGACCUAAACCAGAGAAUAAUUUAUUCUAUAAUUUCACAUAUGUAUAUAUUCAUAUCUUAGAUCUCAGGCUAAAAUGAACGAACUAAAAAAAUUAUUAAGUUUAUGAAAUAUGCUUUCUUUCCUGUCGAUCUAGAACUGAACAAGGUAUCUUGAAUGAAAAAUCAGUCUUAUGUAUGAGCAUUCCCAGGGUUUUUUUAAAAAUGCAAAAUACUCUUGGAGGAAGCAGCUGAGAGCAAAAAAGGUGUUAUUUAUGUGCUUCAAAAAUGCUUCGUUUCCCAGGCUGCUUUCCCAUCUAUUAGGAGGGGGGCAUCUUGAGUAGACAACAAUUGGGAUUUUUUUCAAAGCAGCAAUUGGUUCCAUUACAUCUUUUCAUGUUUAAAAAGUAAUUCAUGGCAGCGGCAGCAGAAAUCACUUCUUUGUUACUUGCCACUUUUCCAUUUUGGGAUUAAUAAAGAAUAUCCAAAGAAAAACCAUAAAAUAAAUCCACUCACAAUUCUAAAAACUGGUCUUUGGGAAUAAUAAGGAAGAGUGAUGUCCCUCCCUCAUUUAUUAUGUUCUUCCUAUUCAGCACAUUACUUUUGCAAGGUCAUUUCAUUACAAUCUUGAUUCACCUCCCUGUAAUAAUGAUGUAACUAUGAUUAUAUAGUUGGCCUUCCA